rnacentral:rRNA from 1 species
UACCAGCACCCCGAGUGGUCGGGACGAUUAUUGGGCCUAAAGCAUCCGUAGCCGGUUUUACAAGUCCCCCGUUAAAUCCAGCUGCUUAACAGAUGGGCUGCGGAGGAUACUAUAAGACUAGGAGGCAGGAGAGGCAAGCGGUACUCAGUGGGUAGGGGUAAAAUCCGUUGAUCCAUUGAAGACCACCAGUGGCGAAGGCGGCUUGCCAGAAUGCGCUCGACGGUGAGGAUGAAAGCUGGGGGAGCAAAGCCGG